AAAUUCUUAUCGCUUAAUUUCCGCCAUCGUGCGGAAAGCGGGGGAACCACAAGGGAAGCCUGAGCUGCCGGUGUGAGAGCCGAAAGCCAUGCGUCCCCGGGGUGAAUCCUCAUCGUGCAUGUAUAACAUGCACUGGGGUAGGGCGACUCUCACCGCCCGAAUCCGUCAGCUAACCUCGUCAGCGUUGGAUCGAACAGCC
rnacentral:sRNA from 2 species